AUUGAACGCUGGCGGAAUGCUUUACACAUGCAAGUCGAACGGCAGCACGGGUGCUUGCACCUGGUGGCGAGUGGCGAACGGGUGAGUAAUGCACCGGAACGUAUCCAAUAAUGGGGGAUAACGCACCGAAAGGUGUGCUAAUACCGCAUACGCCCUGAGGGGGAAAGCGGGGGGAUCGUAAGACCUCGCGUUAAUGGAGCGGCCGAUGCCGGAUUAGCUAGUUGGUGAGGUAAAGGCUCACCAAGGCGACGAUCCGUAGCUGGUCUGAGAGGACGACCAGCCACACUGGAACUGAGACACGGUCCAGACUCCUACGGGAGGCAGCAGUGGGGAAUUUUGGGACAAUGGGCGCAAGCCUGAUCCAGCCAUUCCGCGUGAGUGAAGAAGGCCU
rnacentral:rRNA from 1 species